CGGAGGAGAAAUAAAUGGGGGACCAAAUCGAUAUUGAUUGGCGUUGGAGCCUUCCCUGUCCCCGACCUCUGCUGCUCCCUCUCCCAUUUCGCUUCUCUGUGUCAAUCCGAAUCACUUUCGGGAAAACUCUGGCCUGCCAGAGGUUGAUCCGUGAUGGAGCACCGGUUGCUCCGGUGGCCAAAGGCAUUAAUCUUGAGGUGGCGCCGCCGGUUCAGGUUUCUUGUCUUUGACUAUAUGGAAAAUGGAAGGCUGAAGGAUUAUCUCCAUGACCCACUGAAAACACCCUUGAAUUGGAGAACUAGAUUACAGAUUGCCAUCGACAUAGCAGCUGCUUUGGAGUACCUUCAGUAUUUUUGUGAGCCACCUAUAUACAAUGUGUCCAUCAGCUCAAACAAUAUAUUCUUGGAUGAGAACUUUGUUGCCAAGUAGCUACUAUUGAACUUUUUCUUUAGUUAUCUGAUGUGGGCUUUGCCGAUUGUGAAUUAAUCUGCAAAAGUGAAUCAAACAUCACUUCUUAAGAUACUUCUGAGCAAAGAAAUAGGAGACUUGUUUUUCCAGUUUGGGAUGCUACUACUCGAGCUCAUCACUGGGCAAUCAUUGCUUAAUGAAGCCGAAAUUGUCCAUCAGAUCCAAGAAUCUGAAUUUGCCUAUUCAAUCCACAAGAUUGUGGACACUGACCCUGGUGACCAUAGAACUUGGAAGUUUACUUGUUAUGGCAAGAUUGUGCACCAAGGCUGAAAAUGAUACAUCAAUCUCCAUUCGCCAAAUUCUUCGGUUUCUGCAGGGACAAACAGAACAUUCUGCAUUGUAAGUGCGGUAAGAACAAGAUAAUUUGACUUACAAUUUGUAUGCCUCAAAGAAGCUAAAAUUAGCUAAUAAAGUUGAGCAGUUUAGUGA